UAACGCGUGAGGAACCUGCCUCAAAGAGGGGGACAACAGUUGGAAACGACUGCUAAUACCGCAUAAGCCCACAGCUCGGCAUCGAGCAGAGGGAAAAGGAGCAAUCCGCUUUGAGAUGGCCUCGCGUCCGAUUAGCUAGUUGGUGAGGUAGUGGCCCACCAAGGCGACGAUCGGUAGCCGGACUGAGAGGUUGAACGGCCACAUUGGGACUGAGACACGGCCCAG
rnacentral:rRNA from 1 species